rnacentral:tRNA from 1 species
GGCACGGUGGCCGAGCGGUUAAGGCGUUAGACUUGAACUCUGCUCAUUUGUAGUCACCAAAUUCAGGUAUCUAAUCCCUUCGGGGUCGUAGGUUCAAAUCCUGCCCGUGUCG